UACGGGGGGAGCAAGCGUUGUUCGGAAUUACUGGGCGUAAAGGGCUCGUAGGCGGCCAACUAAGUCAGACGUGAAAUCCCUCAGCUUAACUGGGGAACUGCGUCUGAUACUGGAAGGCUUGAAUUCGGGAGAGGGAUGCGGAAUUCCAGGUGUAGCGGUGAAAUGCGUAGAUAUCUGGAGGAACACCGGUGGCGAAGGCGGCAUCCUGGACCGGCAUUGACGCUGAGGCGCGAAAGCCAGGGGAGCAAACGGG
rnacentral:rRNA from 1 species